rnacentral:rRNA from 1 species
ACGAACGCUGGCGGCGUGCUUAACACAUGCAAGUCGAACGGAAAGGCCCUGCUUUUGUGGGGUGCUCGAGUGGCGAACGGGUGAGUAACACGUGAGUAACCUGCCCUUGACUUUGGGAUAACUUCAGGAAACUGGGGCUAAUACCGGAUAGGAGCUCCUGCUGCAUGGUGGGGGUUGGAAAGUUUCGGCGGUUGGGGAUGGACUCGCGGCUUAUCAGCUUGUUGGUGGGGUAGUGGCUUACCAAGGCUUUGACGGGUAGCCGGCCUGAGAGGGUGACCGGCCACAUUGGGACUGAGAUACGGCCCAGACUCCUACGGGAGGCAAGAGUGGGGAAUAUUGCACAAUGGGCGGAAGCCUGAUGCAGCAACGCCGCGUGCGGGAUGACGGCCUUCGGGUUGUAAACCGCUUUCGCCUGUGACGAAGCGUGAGUGACGGUAAUGGGUAAAGAAGCACCGGCUAACUACGU